GUACGGAAGGCAGCAGUGGGGAAUAUUGGACAAUGGGCGAAAGCCUGAUCCAGCCAUGCCGCGUGUGUGAAGAAGGCCUUUUGGUUGUAAAGCACUUUAAGCGGGGAGGAGGCUACUUUGGUUAAUACCCAAGGAUAGUGGACGUUACCCGCAGAAUAAGCACCGGCUAACUCUGUGCCAGCAGCCGCGGUAAUACAGAGGGUGCGAGCGUUAAUCGGAAUUACUGGGCGUAAAGCGCGCGUAGGCGGCUUGUUAAGUCGGAUGUGAAAUCCCUGGGCUCAACCUAGGCAUUGCAUACGAUACUGGCAAGCUAGAGUAUGGGAGAGGAAGGUAGAAUUCCAGGUGUAGCGGUGAAAUGCGUAGAGAUCUGGAAGAAUACCGAUGGCGAAGGCAGCCUUCUGGCCUAAUACUGACGCUGAGGUGCGAAAGCAUGGGGAGCAAACAGGAUUAGAUACCCGCGUAGUCCC
rnacentral:rRNA from 1 species